GUCGUGAGUUUUAGUCGUGAGUUUGCUACGGAAAAAUAAAGAAAAUGGCAAAAUAUGCACUAUUUGACUUUCCGGAUGAAGGGGCUGUGGACAUAGGCGAAAUAUCAUGGGUGGUAGGGGAAGUAAAUUUAAAAGAUCCUUUUGUAAUGUAUAAAGUUAAUUGGCCAAACAAGGGAAGGAUUGUGUCAUGUCCAGGACGGAUUAUAUCAGUCAGUGACAACAGAGAGGAGUUGGUUUGCAAGAGGAGGCAUUAUCUUGAUGGUGGAGACAAACUGUCGAGCCCGGAGGAGAAAGGGAAGGGGAAAAGGAAGAAACUGAAGAAUGGUCGAUAUUCUGACGACGACGAUGACGUAUCGCUGGUAGGUAACUAAAGUUUUAUCGCAGAAAUGUCAUCUAUAGGCCUUGUGGAUGAGUUAAAUUAAAAUCGUUGAAAAACUAAACUUCAUUAUGAUUUAAAGGAUCCUCAGUUAAAUGUAAGAAGAAGAAGAGAAAAAACACAGGUCUUAACGUCUUAAUGGAACUGGAAAAGCAAGGUAUUGGUGCAGUGAUGUACAAAUAUUCACCGUAUGGAAGUGCUUCUUAACAUCAGUGAAUUAUUGUAAUGUGAUGUAGCCUAAUGUUGUCUGUCAUAUUGUACACCAUGGGGUCGCCAACUGGCCUGCUUUGCCUGGCCUGUCAGAUCAUUUUGACUUUUUGCUUUCUGUCAACUUAUUAAGCAUAUUAACAAGAUUAUAUUUGAGUAUUCAUCUCCUGUUCCGCCUGCAUUGUCUACUCGCUCAGGCUCAUCCCCCUUGCUGACCUCUGUUGUACAGUCUUGAUGUAACACUUAACUCUAUGUACAUCUUCUGUUUGUCAUAGGAUCAUGUCAGCUGAACUCAAUUAAUGAAACCAGGAAUGAAUGCCAUCACCCAUCUUGUGAGCUCUUGAGGGAGAACAACCACAGGCUGCAGAGGUAAAAUGAUUCUCUCAAGGCAAAAAUAGCAACAUUGAAAAUUGCUGCCAGACGUUUUGCAGAAGAUGGAGGAGUUUCUCCGCUCAGCACCAAGACCAACGACAACACCAAUACCAACACCAAGACCAAGACCAGAACCAACACUAUCACCAGCACCAACAGCAGUUCCAGCACCAGCAACAGAAGACCCAUCACCAGCUCCAGGUCCAUCAUCAGCAUCAGCAACAGAGGCCCUGGGCCACUCUGUCAUUCCAAAAGGACUUGUGGAGCGCUGCUCCUUCCAAAGCCCCCAGAAGUUCAUAAAUGAUCUCCUACAUGGGAUGUAUACCAGGGAAUAUAUGGCAGGCCAUUCAGUGACUGGCCAGUCAUCCAGCAGCUGCACAGAAGGAAAACCUGGCCUUGCCAAACAGGACCUUGUUGAAAUAACAAAUGCUGCAAAGUUGAAGUUCACCUACGUAACUGAUACGAACAUAAAAGCAUUUGUACGACAAAAGAUGAACAAUGCUGCCAAAUUUCAGAAACA